UGUGUGUGUGUGUGUGUGUGUGUGUGUGUGUGUGUUUUCUCUCGUUCCUGCUCAGGUCGUGUGUGUACAAGAACGACCAGGCAGUGAAAGAAAACCCAAGCAAGGCUCUGCAGGAGGAGGAACCGUGUCCACGCUUUGCACACCAGCUGGUCUACGAUGAGAUGCACAAGGUGCAUUACUUGUUUGGUGGAAACCCCGGGAAGUCUUGUUCUCCCAAGAUGCGCCUGGACGACUUCUGGUCCCUCAAACUGUGUCGGCCCUCAAAGGAGUACCUGCUGCGCCACUGCAGAUACCUCAUCAGGAAAUACA